CUGCGUGGCCCUCCCGAGGGCAUAUGAUUGACGGGCCUGGGGUCCUCGUUCCUUUUCCAAACCCUGCGCCGAGGAGCCAGUCGAGAUGAAUGACACUGUGACCAUCAGAACAAGAAAGUUCAUGACAAACCGCUUGCUCCAACGCAAGCAAAUGGUUGUCGAUGUCCUCCACCCUGGCAAAGCCACAGUUCCCAAGACAGAAAUUAGGGAGAAGUUGGCAAAAAUGUACAAAACAACGCCAGAUGUUGUGUUUGUAUUUGGCUUCAGGACGCAAUUUGGUGGUGGCAAAACAACAGGAUUUGCCAUGGUCUAUGAUUCCUUGGAUUACGCCAAGAAGAAUGAGCCCAAACACAGGCUGGCAAGGCAUGGCCUAUUGGAGAGAAAGAAGGUUUCCAGGAAACAGCGAAAGGAACGCAAGAACAGAAUGAAGAAAGUUCGGGGCACAGCUAAAGCAAACGUUGGUGCCGGCAAAAAGAAAUGAAGCGUCAAUGGCAGUAACAUGGGAAUGACACUGAAAGUUCUUUAAAAUGGUUUGGCAAUCCCAAUGGCGGAAGACACUGAACAUGGGCAGAUUGUUGAGCCCCACCUCCCCAUCCACGUUUAUCUGUGGUGGGAAUCUUCAUUGCUGGAGGAAGGACAGGAGAAAAUCUAGGUCAAGGUGACAAUGUGGUGGUUACCCUCACCACCAGAUUUUUAAAAUUUUCCUCCAACAUUUCCUGAUGUCAAUUGGAAAAGAAAAGGAAAAUCCCGACCCUGGACUCUGAGUAUAAUCCUUCAGAAAAUCUUCCAUGAGUUGGUAUUAAAGGCCCCAUUUCAAGUUGGGUUCUGCUUUGCACACAAUAUCGCCAUUGUACAUUGCUAUUGUUGACACAACUGUCUGAAAAACUUUUUUUCAUGACUUAUCCACAUUGAUCAGUCUGGUCUCCUUCUCCUAUCAGCAAUCACCUAUCGCUGAGGUCUCAAUGCUGGUGCAAAUUAUCCACGCACAGGGGAGUUGUUCAAAUGAAGAGAAGGAACCUCGGGCAGAAAAUCUGGCCAAGCCAUUUUAUCCCUUCAUACCAGGUCAGAACCACAAGAAUACCAAAUCUCAAAGGGAACAACAAUUUAUACUGCACGAGAAGAGGAUGCUGAUUGGUUAACAAAUGGUUUCUGAUAAUUAGAAGUGUUGCCAUGGAUAAUGGACCAGGGAACCGUUAACUGCCAAACUUUGUUUUUAUUCAAACCAGGCAAGCGAGCACCUGAGGAACCGAACUCGAACCUGGUUCAAACACAAAGAUUUUAAAGUGGGACAUACAGCAAAAAAAAAUCGAAAGCCCCACUUAAAGGUGGUUUCACCGUAUUGGUGAUAUACUUUUGUGUGGUCUCAGCAGGCUUCCUAAGGAAAUAAGGAUGAGCCCAACUGGAGUACUGCACUGUCACAUUGGUGAUACCUUGAAGCAGAAAUCACUUCAAAUCAAUGCAGAAGUGGCAGUACAAGGGACCCAUCAGCAUCUGGUAUUGGACCUGUGGUCUUCAUAGCAGAAGAAGCAGACAGUGUUCACAAGGAAGCAGGGGGCAUUCAAGUGAGUGGACAGGAAGAGAGCAUCAGGAAACCAACUGCUCCCCCUCUGCUGUCCUGAAAACUCGACAGACAGUGCAAAAAAUGCCAUCAUUUGAAAUUGUUUCUGGAUCAGCUGAGGUUUUUUAAUGCUGUUCUAUAAUGAAGUCUGUUAAAACAUGGCAUUUAUCAUGGCAUUGGAAAUGGCCUGUUAGUGUCUCAUAAUAGGGUAAUAAAAUACAAAUUAUAUGCUUAA